GAUGAAGAACGCAGCGAAAUGCGAUAAGUAAUGUGAAUUGCAGAAUUCAGUGAAUCAUCGAAUCUUUGAACGCAUCUUGCGCUCCUUGGUAUUCCGAGGAGCAUGCCUGUUUGAGUGUCAUUAAAUUCUCAACCUUACUAGCUUUUGCGAAGUAAGGCUUGGAUGUGGGGGUUACUUUUGCUGGCUUCUAACGAGGUCGGCUCCCCUGAAAUGCAUUAGCGGUGCCCUUGUGGUCCCCGACUAUCAGUGUGAUAAUUAUCUACGCUGUUAGGCGCCCACGCUUUAGUGCUGCUUCUAACCGUCCGGUUUCUGGACAACACAAAUGACAUUUCUGACCUCAAAUCAGGUAGGACUACCCGCUGAACUUAAGCAUAUCAAUAAGCGGAGGA
rnacentral:misc_RNA from 1 species